rnacentral:rRNA from 1 species
CGUUGGUCGGAAAUACUGGGCGUAAAGCGCACGUAGGCGGCACUGCAAGUCAGGGGUGAAAUCCCGAGGCUCAACCUCGGAACUGCAGUCGAUACUGCUGUGGCUAGAGUCUGGUAGAGGAGAGUGGAAUUCCCGGUGUAGCGGUGAAAUGCGCAGAUAUCGGGAGGAACACCAGUAGCGAAGGCGGCUCUCUGGGCCAGUACUGACGCUGAGGAGCGAAAGCGUGGGGAGCAAACAGG